rnacentral:rRNA from 1 species
AGUGAACGCUGGCGGUAGGCCUAACACAUGCAAGUCGAACGGCAGCACAGUAAGAGCUUGCUCUUACGGGUGGCGAGUGGCGGACGGGUGAGGAAUACAUCGGAAUCUACUUUUUCGUGGGGGAUAACGUAGGGAACCUUACGCUAAUACCGCAUACGACCUACGGGUGAAAGCAGGGGAUCUUCGGACCUUGCGCGAUUGAAUGAGCCGAUGUCGGAUUAGCUAGUUGGCGGGGUAAAGGCCCACCAAGGCGACGAUCCGUAGCUGGUCUGAGAGGAUGAUCAGCCACACGGGAACUGAGACACGGUCCAGACUCCUACGGGAGGCAGCAGUGGGGAAUAUUGGACAAUGGGCGCAAGCCUGAUCCAGCCAUACCGCGUGGGUGAAGAAGGCCUUCGGGUUGUAAAGCCCUUUUGUUGGGAAAGAAAAGCAGCAGGUUAAUACCCCGCUGUUCUGACGGUACCCAAAGAAUAAGCACCGGCUAACUUCGUG